rnacentral:rRNA from 1 species
CUGGUACUCGAGUGGCGAACGGGUGAGUAACACGUGGGUGAUCUGCCUUGCACUUCGGGAUAAGCCUGGGAAAUUGGGUCUAAUACCGGAUAGGACCAUGCUUUAGUGUGUGUGGUGGAAAGUUUUUCGGUGCAAGAUGAGCCCGCGGCCUAUCAGCUUGUUGGUGGGGUAAUGGCCUACCAAGGCGUCGACGGGUAACCGGCCUGAGAGGGUGUACGGCCACAUUGGGACUGAGAUACGGCCCAG